UAGGGAAUCUUCGGCAAUGGACGGAAGUCUGACCGAGCAACGCCGCGUGAGUGAAGAAGGUUUUCGGAUCGUAAAGCUCUGUUGUUAGAGAAGAACGUUGGUAGGAGUGGAAAAUCUACCAAGUGACGGUAACUAACCAGAAAGGGACGGCUAACUACGUGCCAGCAGCCGCGGUAAUAAGUAGGUCCCGAGCGUUGUCCGGAUUUAUUGGGCGUAAAGCGAGCGCAGGCGGUUCUUUAAGUCUGAAGUUAAAGGCAGUGGCUUAACCAUUGUACGCUUUCGAAACUGGAGGACUUGAGUGCAGAAGUGGAUAGUGUAAUUCCAUGUGUAGCGGUGAAAAGCGUAGAUAUAUGGAGGAUCACCGGUGGCGAAAGCGCCUCUCUAGUCUGUAACUAACGCUGAGGCUCGAAAGCGUGGGGAGCAAACAGG
rnacentral:rRNA from 1 species